UUAAGUUCAGCGGGUAUCCCUACCUGAUCCGAGGUCAACCUGAAAGUGAGGUUUUAACGGCGCGACGCCGCCCGGGCUCCGAAGCGAAAACAUGAAAUGCCGCAACGCUUAGAGACGGACGGUUCGGCCGGCAGACAUUAAGGCGCGCGGCGGACCGCGGCGCCCAACACCAAGCCAGGCUUGAGUGGGUGUAAUGACGCUCGAACAGGCAUGCCCUUCGGAAUGCCAAAGGGCGCAAUGUGCGUUCAAAGAUUCGAUGAUUCACUGAAUUCUGCAAUUCACAUUACUUAUCGCAUUUCGCUGCGUUCUUCAUCGAUGCCAGAACCAAGAGAUCCGUUGUUAAAAGUUUUAAUUUAUUAAUUAAGUUUACUCAGACUGCAAAGUUACGCAAGAGUUUGAAGUGUCCACCCGGAGCCCCCGCCCGAAGGCAGGGUCGCCCCGGAGGCAACAGAGUCGGACAACAAAGGGUUAUGAACAUCCCGGUGGUUAGACCGGGGUCACUUGUAAUGAUCCCU
rnacentral:misc_RNA from 1 species